AUCCAGCUGAUGAGUCCCAAAUAGAACGAAACGCGCGUCAAACUAGAU
rnacentral:hammerhead_ribozyme from 1 species